GACGAACGCUGGCGGCGUGCUUAACACAUGCAAGUCGAACGAAGUGGCGCACGGGUGAGUAACGCGUAUUCACCCUCCCCUUCAGAGGGGGACAACAGUUGGACGCGACUGCUAAUACCGCAUACUGAAGUAGGGUAGUUCGUUUGAUUAGCUAGUUGUAGGGGUAACGGCCCACCAAGGCGAUGAUCAGUAGCCGGUCUGAGAGGAUGAACGGCCACAAUGGGACUGAGACACGGCCCAGACUCCUACGGGAGGCAGCAGUGGGGAAUCUUCCGCAAUGGACGAAAGUCUGACCGAGCAACGCCGCGUGAGUGAUGACGGCCUUCGGAUUGUAAAGCUCUGUUAAUAGGGAAGCGGUACCGGAAUAGAAAGCCACGGCUAACUACGUGCCAGCAGCCGCGGUAAUAC
rnacentral:rRNA from 1 species